AGUGAACGCUGGCGGUAGGCCUAACACAUGCAAGUCGAACGGCAGCACAGUAAGAGCUUGCUCUUACGGGUGGCGAGUGGCGGACGGGUGAGGAAUACAUCGGAAUCUACUUUUUCGUGGGGGAUAACGUAGGGAAACUUACGCUAAUACCGCAUACGACCUACGGGUGAAAGCAGGGGAUCUUCGGACCUUGCGCGAUUGAAUGAGCCGAUGUCGGAUUAGCUAGUUGGCGGGGUAAAGGCCCACCAAGGCGACGAUCCGUAGCUGGUCUGAGAGGAUGAUCAGCCACACUGGAAGUGAGACACGGUCCAGACGCCUACGGGAGGCAGCAGUGGGGAAUAUUGGACAAUGGGCGCAAGCCUGAUCCAGCCAUACCGCGUGGGUGAAGAAGGCCUUCGGGUUGUAAAGCCCUUUUGUUGGGAAAGAAAAGCAGCAGGUUAAUACCACGCUGUUCUGACGGUACCCAAAGAAUAAGCACCGGCUAACUUCGUG
rnacentral:rRNA from 1 species